AAUUUGGUUCUUGCAUCUUCUGUCUGACAUUCAUGGUUUUAGGGAUUGAAUUUUAUUUUAGUAUAUCGGUAUUGUUUCGAAGAUUGUGGUGUAUGGCUUGUGUUCCCCUUCUUGAUCAAGUUUUUUCAUGGUUUUCAGAAUUAUAUCGGUAUAUUCCAUAGAUUGUGGUGUAUGGCCUGUGUUUCCCUUCUUGAUCAAGUUUUUUCGGGGUUUUCGGAAUUAUAUGGGUAUCGAUAGAUAGACUUUUGUCGGAUUGAAGAACACGAGUGUUAUCAGUCCUUCUGUUGGAUUGAAGAACACAAGAUAAUAUUUCUUUAAUUGAUGAUGACAUAAUUGAUGAUGACACCUUUUUGCGUAAUUUCUUUACACCUUUUCAACUGGUUGGGUUCUCUGCAUAUGGAUGAUAUGAAAAGUAACAUGAAGAGCAUAAUAGUUCAGAACGGCCAAGGGUUCAGCAUAACCUAAGUCUUCUUUUUGUCUCGUUUCUAUUAUAUAUUGUUUUUUGGUAUUGAUCAUUAUACAUGGGGAUUGAACUAUGAUCUCUUUAUCUGCAGUGGUGUUUGGAAAUAAUUUUGUACGUCCUGAAUUAAGACUCUGCCGAUUUCUUGAAUUUUUGGGCCGGAAAGUUUUGUGACUGAUCGCGACGAUCUGAUUUCGGAGCCUAUGAAAUUUGGUGUUUGUGUUCAUUCCUUUGCAGCACUUCUUUCUUCGGUCGAUGAAUGUUCUUUCUCAUUUAAUUUUUAUCGACUUGAUCACCAAACAUAAGGAUUGAAUUGUGAUUUGUUCCUCAGUAGCAAACACAAAGACUGGCAUUUGCAUUUAAGUUUUUUCAUCCACACAUAUUUUAUUUAUCUGUGACUAGCUAUCUGAUGACUUAUUUAUUCAAUUUGAAUUUAGUUAUUUAUCUGAUGACUGAGAUCUACCGUGUCUAGCUUUUGGUCUGCAUGUAUUCAUUGUUUUUCAGGUCGAGGAUUAAAAACCAUAAAUGUGAAUAUUGUUCUUGAUUUUUGAAAUCUGUCAGAUCUUGAUCUGUGAUUUUGUUUCCUUUUCAGCACAUUGACAGUUGAGGAUUAAAGAAUAAUAAUACAAUCAGGGUAAUAUAACUUCCUGAAUGAGUUUCAUUUGUAUUUAUUUGAUCAGGAACUUCAAGUAUAAGAAUUCAAUCUCGAUUCGUUUCUCUGUAGAAGUGUUUGGAGGAUAUGUUUCGGGUUACGGGACUGAGAUGUGAGGUAGGAUGUGAAAACACCUUCCUGGGGAUUUGUCAAGCUUUAGGUUUUGUUACCUUUACAUUUCUUAUGUCUUUAUUUGUGAUUAGCUAAACUUGUUUAGAUUCUGAGUUUUGGUUGGAUUCAUUGCUGACCUUGUAGUGUGGCUGGCAGUUCUUGUGAGCUUACGCUAAUUUGGUAAUUUGGAGAGGAUUUGUUGGCAACGGGGAUGAUUAAAUGGAAAUUUCUCUUAAAUAAUUUCUUUCAGCUUUUGGGUCGUUUCUUAGUGAUUUGAGUUUAUAACUAUGAAUCUGAAGUACUGGAUUCAUAGUAAAAAAAGGAUAAGAGGAUAAAAUGUCUUGACCUUUAGAGUUUGUGUUUGUCUUGUUCAGCCAUGCCCCGUACUCGAAGCCAGUGAAGAAUUGCUUUUUUCUCUAACUGUUUUUUUCUGUAUUGCCUCGUAUGCAUCUCUUUUCCACUUUCUAUUCCUAAGUAAUUUGGGUUUCUCAUAGCUUUUAUGAGUUCUGGAUUUAUCACCGUUACAAGAUGCAANUGAAAUUAUUUACAGGAGAGAAAUAAGCAUUUUUUAGUUUUAUAGUACUUUAUAUUAUGCAAUUGAAAUCAUUUAAACGAGAUAAUUAUUUUUUUUUUUGUUUUAUAAUACUGAAUUACUUUUUUUAUUUCCCUAGGUGUAGAAAAUUUGAGAAGUUGUUUUCUUAGUUCUNACUUCAUUUUCCUAAUUGUCGAGAGUAUUAGAGAAUUUUGUUACAACUCCCCUGAUUGCUGUGGCUUCGGGCGGCUCAUCCAUUCUUCUCAAGAGAGGUUACCUUUAGUAGUGACGCCAUGCUUCUUGUUGGUUGAGCUUUUUACGUGAAGGCAAUAGUUAUGUGGAGAAAGAGACCGAGAUGGAGAUCCGGUGAAACCUUAGUUUUUUUUCAUCAUUGCAUUUGUUAUUAGUUUUUUUUAAUCGUUGCAUUUGUUAUUUUCUUUGCCGUUAUUCUCCUGGCUAAAACUUGUGGAGUUGAACAUUUUGUGAAUAGGUGCUAUAUGAGUGAGAGGCUUUGGCACUUUUGUUACUGGACUGUUCUCUGCUAAUUUUGAUUGUCUUCUUCUAGUAUUUUUGCAGCGAAAAGGAUGUCUAUUGGUCGUGGAGGCAAUAUCAUUAGAUUAUUGAACUUACUAUAAAGCUUUAUAUUCUUUUGAGUUUCCAUUUACUAUUUUUCUUAUGUGCUUCAGUUGGAAUCACUGUAGCCUUUUAAUGGUUGUAGGUUUUACGUGUGUCAGCCAUUGUGUUUCUCUAAGCAAGAGCAAUACUUGAUCGCUGAAAGUAUCAUCUUGUCGUCUAGGUUCUUCAUCUUCUACCCAUAUUAAUUAUAGUUUCCUUGAAUUCAUGGGCUUUACAAGGAACCUUAGAAAUGAAGUACGUGCAAAUGGUGGGUGGUGGGGGCAGGUUUGGGAAGGAUGCGGAGAAACCUUGGAUUUUUAUUAUCUUGGCAUUCAUAUUUUUCUUUGCCAUUAUUCUUUAAGCUAAACACGUGGAGUGGGAGAUCCUCUAAAUAGGCGAUGUAGGAGUGAGAGGCUUUGACAUUUGUGUUGUUGGACUAUUGACUCUGUUGUGUUGAUUAUCUUCUUCUUCUAGUCUUGUCUAUUGGAUCGUACAGCCAAAAGCGGUAGAUUAUUUAACUCACUACAAAGCUUUAUGUUUUAUUACGUUUCUAUUUACUUUGUGUUCGAGUUAGAAUUGUUGGUCUCUCUCUUAUUGGUUGUAGGAAGGUACAUGUGUCAGCCAUUGCAAGAGCAAUAUUUGCAAAUGGUGGGUGGGUGUUGGGUUUUGCGCAGCUUUCAAAAGCAAUGGAUCCGGUGAAACCUUGGAUUUUAUUAUCUUUGCAUUCAUAUUUUUCAUAGCCAUUAUUCUUCAAGCUAAACUUGUGGAGUAGGAGAUCUUCUAAAUACGCAUCGUAGGAGUGAGAGGCUGACAUUUGUGUUGUUGGACGUUGACUCUGUUGAUUUACAGUGAAGAUGUCUAUUGGAUCGUAGAGCCAAUAACUGUAUAUUAUUUAACUUACGAACAAGCUUUAUGUUUUAUUAUGUUUCCAUUUGCUUUAUGUGCUUGAGUUGGAAUUUUGUUGUUGUCUCUCUUAUUGGUUGUAGGAAGGUACAUGUGUCAGCCAUUGUCUUUGUCUAAGCAAGAGCCUCUCAUGGAAAUUUCUCCAUUGGUUUUUAAUUGUUGUAUUUGUUUAUUCAUCUUAUCAUCUAGGUCCUUCGUCUUCUAACCCAUAUUGAUUGUAGUUUUCUUGUAUUAUGGGCUUUAUAGGAAAACUAAGAAAUGAGGUUGGUGCAGGGUGUUCAAAUGGUGAGUGGUUGACUGGUUCAACUGGUUCAGUAACAGUGGAUGGGUAUGGAGUUCUGGUGAAACCCUUUGUUUUAUCACGUUCUNAUUUACUAUUUUUCUUGUCUAUUUGAGUGGCUUUAGUCUCUCUUAUUGGUUGUAGGAAGAUACAUGUUUUGGCCAUGGUGUUUCUUUAAACAAGAGCAAUACUUGAUCACCGGACAUUAUGGUCAACUAUCCUGAAAUGGAAAUUUUCCCAUUGGUUUUUCAAUUCUUCAAUUUGUUUAUCAUCUUAUUAUCUUCGUCCUUCAUCUUCUACCCAAAUUGAUUAUUGUUUUCUUGAAUUGAUGGGCUUUACACGGAAACUAAGAAAUGCAAUGUGUGCAGGGUGUGCAAAUGGUGGGUGGUGGGCUGGUUUUGGUAACGGUGGAUGGAAAUCUGGUGAACCCUAGGUUUUAUUAUUUUUGAAUUCAUUAUGUUCAUUGCCGUUAUUCUUCAAACUAAACUUGUGGAGUGGGAGAUCUUAAAAGUAGAUACUUUAUGCGUGACAUGCUUUGACAUUUGUUUGUUAGGCAGUUGGAUGUUGAUUUUGAUUAAUCUUCUUCUACUCAUGUCACAGUUAAGAGGAUGUCUUUUGGAUCGUGGCUGCAGUAGUUGUAGGUUAUUUAACUUAAUACAGAGUUUUAUGUUUUUUGUCAUUCUCAUGUACUAUUUUUCGUGUUUGUUUAAAAUGGAUUGGCUUUAGUAUCUCUUGUUGGUUGUAUGGAGGUACAUGUUUCGGCCAUGGUGUUUGUUUAUGCAAGAGCAAUAAUUGACAGUGGGAUCAUUAUAAUGAUCGAGCUUGUUUUGGAAAUUUCUGGAUUGCUUUUUGUAUUUUAUUAUUUUCUUAUCAUCUAGGUCGAUUAAUUAUAGUUAUUUGAUGGGCCUUACAAGAAAACUAAGAAUUGAAGUGGGUGCAGGGUGUGCAAAUGUUUGUUUUAUUAUCUCUGCUAACAUUAUUUUCCUUGCCCUUAUUUUUCAAACUAAACUUGUGGAAUGGCUGUUGGGUUGUUGGACAGUUGACUCUGUUGAUUAUCUUCUUUUACUCCUCAUGCAGUGAAGAUGUCUAUUGGAUCGUGCAUGCAGUAGGUGUAGAUUAUUUAACUUACUGCAAAACUUUAUGUUUUAUUAUAUUCUCAUAUACUAUUUUUCUUGUCUGCUCAAGUGGCUUUAGUCUGUCUUAUUACUUGUAGGGAGGUACAUGUUCACUGGACAAUUAGGUCAGAGAAUCUGUAAUGGAAAUUUCUCAAUUACUUUUUUAAUUAUUGUAUUUGUUUAUUUAUCUUUUCAUAUAGGUCUUUCAUCUUCUACCCACGUUAAUUAUAGUUAAUGGAUGGGCUUUACAAGAAAACUUAGAAAUGAAGUGGGUGCAGGGUGUGCAAACGGUGGGCAACUACGGAAACAGUGGAUGGUCACAAUGGAAGGAGCUUGGUGAAACCCUUUGUUUUAUUAUCUUUGCAUUCAUCAGUUUUAUUUGCGUUACUUUCAAACUAAUUUGUGGAAUGGGAGAUCUUGAAAGUAGGCACUCUAUAAGUGAGAUGCUUUGUUAUUUGGGUUGUUGAACAAUUUACUUGUUGAUUUUGAUUGUCUUUUUCUACUCCUCUUGCAGUGAAGGGGAUUUAUUUCUAUUGGAUCGAGCAUGCAGUAGGUGUAGAUUAUUUAACUUACUGCAAAGCUUUGUUUGAUUACAUUCUCAUUUACUAUUUUUCUAGUCUGAUCAAGUGGCUUUAGCCUAUCUUUUUACUUGUAGGAAGGUACAUUUUCACUUGACAAUUACGGUCAGAGAAUCUGUAAUGGAAAUUUCUCCAUUGCUUUUUUAAUUCCUGAAUUUUUUUUAUUCAUGUUAUCGUCUAGGUCCUUCAUCUUCUACCCAGAUUAAUUAUAGUUUUAUUGAAUACGUUGGCUUUACAUGAAAAUGUAUUGGUUGUAGGAGGUACUUGUGUCAGCCAUGGUGUUUGUCUAAGCAUGAGUAAUAUUUGAUAGCUGAGCCUUACGAUGACCGAGCCUACUAUCAAAGUUUCUCAAUUAGUAUUUUGGUUCCUGAAUUUGUUUAUUCAUCUUAUGGUCUUGGGUCUUUCAUCCUCUACCAAAUUUUCUUGAAUGGACGGGUCUUGGUCCUUCAUGUUCUACUCAAAUUGAUUAUUGUUUUCUUGAAUUGAUGGGCUUUACACGGAAACUUAGAAAUGAAAUGUUUGCAGGGUGUGCAAAUGGUGGGUGGUGGACAGGUUUCGGUAAUGGUGGAUAGAAAUCUGGUGAACCUUAAGUUUUGUUAUUUUUGAAUUCAUUAUUUUCAUUGCCGUUAUUCUUCAAACUAAACUUGAAAGUACAUGCUCUAUGAGUGGCAGACUUGGACCAUUGGCCGUUGAUUUUGAUUAAUGUUCUACUCAUGUUGCAAUGAAGAGGAUGUCUCUUGGAUCGAGUAUGCAGUAGGUUAUUGAACUUACUAGAGAGCUUUUUGUUUCCUUUCAUUCUCAUGUACUAUUUUUCUUGCCUGCUCGAAUUGGAAUGACUUUAGUCUCUCUUAUUGGUUAUAGGUAGGUAGAUGUUUCGGGUUACAUGUUGCCACGCUGUUUGUCUGUGCUAGAGCAAUGAUUGAUCGCUGUUAAGUUGAUUGAGCCGGUUUUGGAAAUUUCUCCAUUGCAUUUUUAAUUUUGUCUUUGUCUAUUUAUCUUACCGUCUAGGUACUUCAUAUUCUAUCCAAAUUAAUUAUAGUUUUCUUGAAUUGAUGGGAAAUGAAGUGGGUGCAGGGUGUGCAAAUUGUGGGUGCUUGGCACAACAGUGGAUGGAGUUCUGGUGUGAAGGCCUUUGUUCUAUUAUAUUUGCAUUCAUUAUUUUCAUUUCCGUUAUUGUUCAGCCUAAGCUUGUGGAAUGGGAGAUGCUUGAAGUAAAUGAAGUGUGUUUGAGGCUUUGACAUUUGGGUCUAACUUUUGGAGUGGGAGAUCAUUAAAGUAGGCAGUCUAUGAGUGAGAGGCUUUGACUUUUGGGUCUAACUUUUGGAGUGAGAGAUCAUGGAAGUAGGCACUCUAUGAGUGAGAGGCUUUGGCAUAUGGGUUGUUGGACAGUUGAAUCUGUUGAUUUUGUUUAUCUUCUUCCACUCCUCUUGCACUGAAGAGGAUGUCUAUUGCCAUGCAGUAGGUGUAUAUUAUUAUUUAACUUACUGCAAAGCUCUAUGUUUCGUUACAUUCUCAUUUACUAUUUUUCUAGUCUGCUCAAGUGGCUUUAAUCUCUCUUAUUGGUUGUAGGAGGGUACAUGUUCACUGGAAAGUUAUGGUCAAAGAAUCUGUUAUUGAAAUUUCUCCAUUGGUUUUUUAAUUCCCGAAAUUGUUUAUUCAUCUUAUCAUCUUGGUCCUUCAUCUUUUACCCAGAUGAAUUAUAGUUUUAUUGAAAAAAUGGACUUUACAUGAAAAUGUAUUGGUUGUAGGAAGGUACAUGUGUCAGNCAUGGUNUUUGUCUGAGCAUGAGCAACACUUGAUUGUCNAACCNUAUGCUGAUCGANCCUACUAUGGAUGCUUCUCAAUCUGUAUUUUGGUUCCUGAAUUUGUUUAUUCAUCAUAUGGUCUUGGGUCUUUCAUCUUCUUCCCAAAUUUCUUGAAUGGAUGGGGUCUUGGGUGUGCAAAUGGUGGGUGGUGGGCAGGUUUGGUAACGUGGAUUGAAAUCUGGUGAACCUUAGGUUUUAUUAUUUUUGAAUUCAUUAUGUUCAUUGCAGUUAUUCUUCAAAUAAAUUCGUGGAGUGGGAGAUCUUAAAAGUAGAUACUUUAUGAGUGACAAGGUUUGACAUUUUUGUUGUUAGACUGUGUGGCUGUUGAUUUUGAUUAACUUCUACUCAUGUUGCAGUUAAGAGGGUAUUGGAUCGAUGCAGUUUCUUUUACUACGUUCUCAUAUACUAUUUUUUGUCUUGUUCAAGUUGGAUUGGCUUUAGUCUCUCUUGUUUGUUGUAGGGAGGUACAUGUUUCGGCCAUGGUGUUUGUCUAUGCUAGGGCAAUAAUUGAUUGCGGGAUAUCAUUAUGAUGAUGAUCUAGGUGGAAUGGGCCUUACGAGAAAACUAAGAAUUUAAUUGGGUGCAGGGUGUGGAAGUGGUGGGUGGUGGGCAACUUCUAAAACAGUGGAUGGUAACAAUGGAUGGAGUUCUGGUGAAACCUUUGUUUUAUUAUCAAUGCGUUCACUAUUUUCCUUGCUCUUAUUUUUCAAACAAAACUUAUGGAAUGGGUGUUGGUUUGUUGUGCAGUUGACUGUUGAUUUUGAUUAUCUUCUUCUACUCCUCUUCUAGUAAAGAUGUCCAUUGGAUCGUGCAUAGUUGGUUUAGAUUAUUUAACUUACUGCAAAACUUUUCGUUUUAUUAUAUUCUCACUUACUGCAAGUGGCUUUAGUCUCUCUUAUUGGUGUUAGGAAGGUACAUGUUCACUGGACAACUAUGGUCAGAGAAUCUGUUAUGGAAAACUUUUCGUUUUAUUAUAUUCUCACCUACUAUUUUUCUUGUCUGCUCAAGUGACUUUAGUCUCUCUUAUUGGUGUUAGGAAGGUACAUGUUCACUGGACAACUAUGGUCAGAGAAUCUAUUAUGGAAAUUUCUUCAUUGGUUUUUUAAUUCCUGAAUUUGUUUAUUCGUCUUAUCAUCUAGGACCUUCAUCUUUUACCCAAAUAAAUUAUUGUUUUAUUGAAUACAUGGGCUUUACGUAAAAGCGUAUUGGUUGUAGGAAGAUACAUGUGUAAGCCAAAGUGUUUGUCUAAGCUUGAGCAAUACUUGAUCGCUGAACCUUAUGAUGAUCAACCCUACUAUGGAAUUUUAUCAAUUAGUGUUUUGCUUCCUGAAUUUGUUUAUUCAUCUUUGGUCUUUGGUCUUUCAACUUCUACCCAAAUUUCUUGAAUGGAUGUGGUUUUGAUCCUUCAUCUUCUACCAAAUUUGAUUAUUGUUUUCCUGAAUUGAUGGGUUUUACACGGAAACUAAGAAAUGAAAUGUGUGCAGGAUGUGUAAAUGGUGGGUGGUGGGCAGGUUUCGGUAACGGCAGAUGGAAAUCUGAUGAACCUUAGGUUUUAUUAUUUUUGAAUUCAGUAUUUUGAUUGCCGUUAUCCUUCAAACUAAACUUGUGGAGUGGGAGAUGUUAAAAGUAGAUACUUUAUGACUGACAGGUUUUGUGGCAUUUGUGUUGACCGUUGGCUGUUGGUUUUGAUUAUCUUCUUCUACUCAUGUUGCAGUUAAGAGGAUAGUGAAUUGAUGCAAUAAGUUUUAUUACGUUCUCAUAUACUAAUUUUCUUGUCUGUUCAAGAUGGAUUGGCUUUAGUCUCUCUUGUUGGCUGUAGGGAAGUACAUGUUUCGGCCAUGGUGUUUGUCUAUGCAAGAGCAAUAGUUGACAGUGGGAUCAUUAUGAUGGGAUCAUUAUAACGAUCGAGCUUGUUUUGGCAAUUUCUGGAUUGCUUUUUGUAUUUUAUUAUUUUCUUAUGAUCUAGGUCGAUUAAUUAUAGUUAAUUGAUGGGCCUUACAAGAAAACUAAGAAUUGAAGUGGGUGCAGGGUGUGCAAAUGGUGGGUGGUGGGCAACUACGGAAACAAUGGAUUAUAACAAUGGAUGGAGUUCCGGUGAAACCCUUUGUUUUAUUAUCUCUGCUAACAUUAUUUUCCUUGCCCUUAUUUUUCAAUCUAAACUUGUGGAAUGGGUGUUGGGUUGUUGGACAGUUGACUCUGUUGAUUAUCUUCUUUUACUCCUCAUGCAGUGAAGAUGUCUAUUGGUUCGUGCAUGCAGUAGAUGUAGAUUAUUUAACUUAUUGCAAAACUUUAUGUUUUAUUAUAUUCUCAUAUACUAUUUUUCUUGUCUGCUGAAGUGGCUUUAGUCUGUCUUAUUACUUGUAGGAAGGUACAUAUUCACUGGACAAUUACGGUCAGAGAAUCUGUAAUGAAAAUUUCUCAAUUGCUUUUUCAAUUAUUGUAUUUGUUUAUAUAUCUUAUCUUCUAGGUCCCUCAUCUUUUACCCAGAUUAAUUUUAGUUUUAUUGAAUACACGGGCUUUUCAUGAAAAGGUAUUGGUUGUAGGAAGGUACAUGUGUCAGCCAUGGUGCUUGUCUAAGCUUGAGCAAUACUUGAUCGCUGAACCUUGUGAUGAUCGAGCCUACUAUGGAGUUUCCUCAAUUAGUAUUUUGGUUCUUGAAUUUUGAUGAUCUAGACUACUAUGGAGUUUCCUCAAUUAGUAUUUCGGUUCCUGAAUUUGUUUAUUGAUCUUCUGGUUUUGGGUCUUUCGUCUUCUUUCCAAAUUUCUUGAAUGGAUGGGGUCUUGGUCCUUCAACUUCUACCAAAUUUGAUGAUUGUUUUCUUGACUUGAUGGACUCACGGAAACUAAGAAAUGAAAGGUGUGCAGAAUUUGCAAUUGGUGGGUGGUGGUGCAGGAUUUGCAAUUAGUGGGUGGUGGUGCAGGAUUUGCAAUUGGUGCGUGGUGGUGCAGGAUUUGGAAUUGGUGGGUGGUGGGCAAGUUUUGGUAACGGGGGAUGGAAAUCUGGUGAACCUUAGGUUUUAUUAUUUUUGAAUCAUUAUGUUCAUUGACGUUAUCCUUCAAACUAAACUUGUGGAGUGGGAGAUAUUAAAAGUAGAUACUUUGAGUGACAGGUUUUGGCAUUUGUGUUGUUGGACAGUUGCUGUUGGUUUUGAUUAUCUUCUUCUACUCAUGUUGCAGUUAAGAGGAUAGUGGAUUGAUGCAGUAUGUUUUAUUAUGUUCUCAUAUAUUAUUUUUCUUGUCUGUUCAAUUUGGAUUGGCUGUAGUCUCUCUUUUUGGUUGUAGGGAGGUACUGUUUUGGCCAUGGUGUUUGUCCAUGCAAGAGCAAUAAUUGAUGGUGGGAUCAUUAUGAAGAUCGAGCUUGUUUUGGAAAUUUCUCGAUUGCUUUUUGAUAUUUUAUUAUUUUCUUAUGAUCUAGGUCGAUUAAUUGGGUUCAGGGUGUGCAAAUUGUGGUUGGUGGGCAACUUCGGAAACAGUGGAUUGUAACUAUGGAUGGAGUUCCAGUGAAACCCCCCUUUGUUUUAUUAUCUCUGCUUACAUUAUUUUCCUUGCCCUUAUUUUUCAAACUAAACUUGUGGAAUGGGUGUUGCCUUGUUGGACAGUUGACUCUGUUGAUUUUGAUUUUGAUUAUCUUCUUCUACUUCUCUUGCAACUAAGAUGUCUAUUGGAUCGUGAAUGCAGUAGGUGUAGAUUAGUUAACUUACUGCAAAACUUCAUGUUUUAUUAUAUUGUCGUCUACUAUUUUUCUUGUCUUCUCAAGUGGUUUUAGUCUCUCCUAUUGGUUGUAGGAAGGUACAUGUUCACUCGACACUCGACAAUUAUGUUUUCUCAAUUAGUAUUUUGGUUCAUGAAUCUUUUUAUUGAUCUUAUGGUUUUGGGUCUUUCAGCUUCUAUCCGAAUUUUUUGAAUGAAUGGGGUCUUGGUUCUUCAUCUUCUACCCAAUCUUGACUGUUGACUGUUGAUUUUGACUAUGUUCUUCGACUCAUUUUGCAGUGAAGAUGUCUAAAGGAUCUGGAUGCAUGGAUUUAGAUUAUUUAACUUACUACAAAGUUUCAUGUUUUAUUAUGUUCUCAUUUACUAUUCUUUUUUUGUCUGCUUGAGUUGGAAGGGCUUUAAUCUAUUGGUUGUAGAAAGUUACAUGUUCCGGCUAUGGUGCAAGAUCAAUAAUGCUGAACAUUAUGAUCAUCAAGCCUGUUUUGGAAAUUUCUCCUUUAGAAUUCUAAUUCCUGAAUUUGUGUUUUUAUCUUAUUGAUUACCUCCUUCAUCUUCUACCCAGAUUAAUUAUAUAUAUUUUUUCUAUGCAAGGGCUUUACAGUGAAACUAAAAUGAAGUUGGUGUGGGGUGUGCAAAUGGUGGUUGCUGGGAAGGUUUGAGAAGCAGUGGUUGGAUAUCCAGGGAAACCUUAGGUUCUAUUGUCUUAGCAUUCUUUAUUUUCUUCGCAAUUAUUUUUCUGGCUAAACAUUUGGAGUGGGAGUUCCUGUAAACAGGCACUAUAUGAGUAUGAGAGGCUUUGGCAUUUGCAGUGAAAACUUGCUUGCUAUG